rnacentral:lncRNA from 1 species
AAGAAGAUAGUAGUUAAAAAAGAAAUGUAGGGAAGAAAUUGACAUAUAAGAAAAUACAUAAGCAGAAAGUGAUGCGAAAGAAGAUGAUAGACCUCGAAAGACUGGUCAUUCGGUGGUAAUAUAUGGUAGAAGAAACUUUUUCGCAUCUCUUUUUGAAAAAGAAGGAAAAUAGUUGUUGUCAAUAUAAGAACACGGUGACCCAAUAUCCUCGACGAAAGGCCGAGAAGAACUAGGUCUGUAGUCGGCGGGAGAUGAUUUGGGGAAGAACAGGUUAACGGAAAUAACUAAUCUUUGAAAAGAUUUAGUUACUGUAUCAAAAAGAUUGAAUUGAUUUUCAAAUGUA